AGUUCAAUGGUCGAGAUAUGUAGGCAUUAGAUUGUAAAUCUAAAAACGGGAAAUUCCCUUGAGCUG
rnacentral:tRNA from 1 species